rnacentral:rRNA from 1 species
AUGGUGUUGUAUUUGCAAUUUUCACGGUGCCGCCGCCUCCGCCUCACCGGAGCGGGGGUUCUCGCGCGCGGCCGCGGGCUCCUGGCCGCUCGGCGCCCGUCGCUCAUCUACGGCCUAGCAGUCUACUUUCAGUUGGUGUGCUCCGAGAUUAAUAGUCGAUCGAAGGCUCUGAAGCUUCUACUUAGUGUUCCAUUGGGAGAAGCAAUGUCUGGAGUAAUAACUAAGUUUGCUGUUACAUCGAUGUUCAUGUGGAUGCCCCAGUUGCAAUUAUGUGUGGGUUCUGCCACCAGAUUUUUCCAGGUAUUAGUCACCUUUCAUCCUCAGCGCAAACUCUGGCCAGUGGGUUCCUUGCUGUCAUAUCGGUUAAUAUUGUGA